UCUUGACUGUAACCUCAUUAGAAAUCCUGAUCCAGAAUCACCCUGCUAAGCUGUUCCCAGACUCCUGAACUUCAGAAACUACGUGAGACACACCCAUGUAACCAGCACCCAGAUUAAGAAACAGAACGUCAUGGGACAUCUGUACAACGGAAUCCCACACAGCAAAGAAAAAGAACUACUGAUACGCACAACCACAUGGAUUGAUCUCAAAAACAUCAUGCUGAGUGAAAGAAGCAGGACACAAAGGAGUACAAAUUGCAUGAUUCCAUUUAUAUGAUGUUUAAGAACAGGUGACAGAAGUUGAUGGUGACAGACGUCCAUCCAGAACAGUGAUUAACCCUUGGGGGCAGUGACUGGGAAGGGCACGAGGGAGGCUGCCGGGGCCUAAAAGUGUUCUUUAUCUGUUGUUUAUCUUUGUUAUCUUUAUCUGGUUGUUUAUGUGGGUCUAUAGACAAGUAAACAUCCAUCGAGCUGCACAUAUAAGAUGUGCAUAUUUUAGUGUACGUAAAAUACACACGGAUUUUUUUUAAAUGUGAAAAAGAAAGAAACACAUUGCCAAACCUCUCUUCCUGUAAUUACCCCUCCAAGGGUAACCACAAUCUUCACUUCUAACAGCAUGAAUUACUUUUGCUUGUUUUUGUGCUUUACAUAAAUAGAAGAUUCUCGGAUUCUUGCA